rnacentral:lncRNA from 1 species
CACAGUAGAGUAAGGAAACCGGUGUACAAACAGGAAGCAGUUUCUAAGAUCCGUCAUCUGAUGACAAAGUACCGUGCACCAGGAGUGCUGACACAGCCACUGGGGGUCCGAGGCAGGAGGGUGGUGAUUCUAAGAGCUGACAGUGCUACAGACUGAGUUGAAAACCAGCCUGAGGGACUUUGUGAGACCCAACUCAACCAAAGGGAAGAUGGGGCUGAGAACGUAGCCUGCCUAGCACGCAAGAGACCUGGGCUUCAGUUACUAGUUCCCCAAACGGAAGAUGCCGAGAGUGCAUGAGAGCUGUGUGUUUGAGCUUUCCAGUCAGGUCCAUCAGUACCGACUUCGAACCUUGGCAAGGCUGAGCACACUGAGACACGUCAGAUGCCACAUGCUGCAUGGUGUCGAAAAUGUACUGCCGAAGAGCCGCUGUGGAGAAGAGUGUGCUUUAAAGAAUGGUGGUGAUGGAGCGCGCUUUGAGGGAUGCUGGGUGUCUAAUGGAGGCACGCACAGGAGAGUGUUCUUCACUUCAACCUGGAGGUCCUUCACGCUAGUCAGCUAGUCAGCAGCCCUGCAGCUCCACAUCCUUCUGCGAAGCAGAAGCCGAGUGUGGUAAAAACCAGGGUAGUCAUCUGCUGGGUGUGUGACUGGGCCGGUGGCCUCCCCCUCUGUGCCUAUUUUCUCAUCUGUCCAAUAGAGGCAAUAAAAUCUCCCUCACAGGGAAGUUACCACAAGACAGCCUGUAUGAGAUGUUUAUCACAGUCCCUGUACAUAGCAAGAAAGAGCACAGUUAAUGUAGGCACCUGCCCUUCUAUGGAUUUGUGGUAGUAUAAUUCACCUAUGUAUGUGGAACCAUGGGUGAUUUGGUCCACCCUCUCAACGUCAGAGACCUGUGGUGAGUCAUAAAAGAGUUUCAGGGGCUAGGGAGACAGCUCAGCUUGGAAGUGUGAAGACCUGACUUAGACGACCCAAACCGAUG